rnacentral:rRNA from 1 species
CCGCCAUCCGAGUUGUAAUCUAGAGAAGUGUUACCCGCGUCGGACCGUGUACAAGUCUCCUGGAAUGGAGCGUCAUAGAGGGUGAGAAUCCCGUCUUUGACACGGACCCCCGAGGCUUUGUGGUGCGCUCUCAAAGAGUCGAGUUGUUUGGGAAUGCAGCUCAAAAUGGGUGGUAAAUUCCAUCUAAAGCUAAAUAUUGGCGAGAGACCGAUAGCGAACAAGUACCGUGAGGGAAAGAUGAAAAGAACUUUGGAAAGAGAGUUAAACAGUACGUGAAAUUGCUGAAAGGGAAACGCUUGAAGUCAGUCGCGUUGGCCGGAAAUCAGCCUUGCUAUAGCUUGGUGUACUUUCUGGUUGACGGGCCAGCAUCAGUUUUGACCGGUGGAUAAAGCUGUGAGGAAUGUGGCAUCUUCGGGUGUGUUAUAGCCUCGCUUCGUAUACAUCGGUUGGGACUGAGGAACUCAGCACGCCGCAAGGCCGGGGUUCGCCCACGAUCGUGCUUAGGAUGCUGGCAUAAUGGCUUUAAUCGACCCGUCUUGAAACACGGACCAAGGAGUCUAACAUGCCUGCGAGUGUUUGGGUGGAAAACCCGGACGCGCAAUGAAAGUGAAAGUCGAGAUCCUUGUCAUGGGGAGCAUCGACGCCCGGACCAGAAGUUUACGGACGGUUCUGCGGUAGAGCAUGUAUGUUGGGACCCGAAAGAUGGUGACUAUGCCUGAAUAGGGUGAAGCCAGAGGAAACUCUGGUGGAGGCUCGUAGC